CAGUUAUAUGCUUCCAUUUUAUAUAUUAUAAAAUAGAUUUGUUUUUAAAAAAAAUCAGUCAUUCUCUUUGCCUUAAUUUAAAAAAUUGUUUCUUUCAAAAAAUUCUUAGUUCUCUUUUAGCUGUACAAAAGAGAAACAAAAUAGAUAACAUCCAGUUUUUGAUUCAUUCUCCUGAAAUACCUUACAAGCUAGAAAUUUGGGGAGUGAACAAACUAUUACAGAAUUUAAAGAGUUUAAGAUUCACUGGAAAUAUAUAUGACAACUCUUCAAGGAGAAAGCUGGUGAAAAUCGUUGCUACUCUGAAUCUUAUAGAAGACACGUUUUCUGUGGCAUUUCUCCACUUAAAUGGUCAGGAAUUUAAGGAUGUCUAGGAUAUGAACUUAUGAACAUCUGUGCAGAGAUGGCUGAUACUUUGACUUCAGAGCAAAGAUAAGUUCGCCAAAGCCGGGCAUGUAAACUGUGAUUAAGACAUUGGGCUUUGAAUUCAGAGUGAUCUGGAUUUAUAUCCUGAUGCAACACUAAAUAUCUCUGCAAAUAUAAGGAGUUAGUACAUAUUAAGUGAACUACUAUAUACCAGGCACUAUGAUGGACACAGAAAUUCUGUAGUGAACAAGAAAAACGUGAUUUCUUCCCUCAUGGAGGUUAAACUCUAUUGAAGACAACUUGUUUUGAAUAUACAUUUUAUGAGUAGUUAUUAAGUAUAAUUGUUAUAAAUGCUACUACAAAGAGGUAAGUAGAACUAGUGUCGUUCAUCAUUUGAAAUCAUCAUUAUGCUUCCUGUACUGAGAAAAAGGGCAAGACUUUUCACAAAGGCUUUCUUCCAACUUUUAUGUGAUCAACAAAAAAGAUUGAAAUAGAACAGAUGAGAAGAUUUACCUUAAUGCAGUUGUUCACCAAUAUUUUUCUAACUUUAUUUUGUGUUAAAAUUACUGAUGGAGCUUGUUUAUAAUCCAGAGUUCAGAUUCAUUUAGUUUGAUGUAGGGAUCAAGAAUCUGAAUUUUUAACAAAUUUUCAAAUAGUCUUUGGACUGUACUUUGAAAAACCACUAGUUAUAAUAUAACAGUAGAUAGAGAAGGGAUCUCCAUCUAAAACUUGGCUUCAAUAUCAUGAUGGAUGUCACAGAUGCACCAAGACGGUGCAAAAAUGCCACAGUGAGCCUUUCAAAGGCCAGCAGGGUAGGCUUUCCAAGUUGAUUAAAAAAUAGCUGAGUGAGGAAGGCCCUCAGGUUUUUAAUGGUAGUUAGGAAGAGGAACUGGGGUAAACAUUUUAAUUUUCUCCUGGUACCAUGGAUGGAAUAUCUGGGGUUCCUUAUCACCUUGUCCAGAAGUGGGGCAAAGGGAAAAAGGCAGGAUUGUUGCUUAAAAGCUGCCAGGAGCAGCCAGGCACAGUGGCUCAUGCCUGUAGUCCCAGCACUUUGGGAGGCCGAGGCAGGCAGAUCACGAGGUCAAGAGUUCGGGACCAGCCUGGCCAACAUGGUGAAACCUUGUCUCUACUAUAAAUACAAAAAAUUAGCCAGACGUGGUGGCAGGUGCCUGUAAUCCCAGCUACUCAGGAGGCUGAGGCAGGAGAAACACUUGAACCCGGGAGGCGGAGGUUGCAGUGAGCCAAGACCACACCACUACACUCCUGCCUGGGCAACAGAGCAAAACUCUGUCAAAAACAAAAACAAAAACAAACAAACAAACAAAAAACUGCCAGGAUCCAGCAUCAACACUUAUUAUGUAUUCAAGAAUGAAUAGUUGUGACAUUGUGUUAUCUACUGUGAGUCUGAAGUGAAUUCUAUUCCUAUAGUUUGUAAUCCUGUCCAGUUUUCUUUUUCUUUUGAGUCAAAUUGAAUGUAUGCUCAGGUACAUAUGGUGGCACAUUUAAAUAAUAGUUUUGCCUCAUACGGUAGUUUAUAUUACUGCUCAGCAAAUAUUCACACUGGCCCCUAACUUACAUAAAAGAAGGACAUAUCCUUAACUCAAUGAUGCUGGUCUUAGCCAUAUGACUUUCCUUUGACAACCAAUGGAAUGUGGAUCACGAGGUCAGGAGAUCAAAGCCAUCCUGGCUAACACGGUGAAACCCCGUCUCUACUAAAAAUACAAAAAUUAGCCAGGUAUGGUGACGAGCGCCUGUAGUCCCAGCUACUCAGGAGGCUGAGGCAGAUGAAUGGCAUGAACCCGGGAGGCAGAGGUUGCAGUGAGCUGAGAUCCCGCCACUGCAUUCCAGCCUGGGUGUCAGAGCUAGACUCUGUCUAAAAAAAAAAAAAAAAAAAAAAAAAAGGAAAAAGAAAAAUGUGAUGUGUUAGUUCUCAGCCAUGGCCUUAGUAAGAGGCAUUAUGUGUUACCAUUUACCCCUGUGGGAGCCGGCAAUAUCUUCUUAACAACAACAACAACAAAAAUCAUGACUUCAGUAGCUUUGAAUUUAAAGUGAUUAAUAUUAAAGCAGAUUGUACUAAACCCACAGCCUUGUGCCAAACCCGGAUAAGCCAGCCUUAUCUGUCAACUCUAGCAGACUUUUAAACUUGCAAUUUGAAACAGAGCUUCCCCAGCAAAAAAUAUUUGUGAGUAUGGAAAUAAUGCUAAUAUAAGACUGAGUUUUGAAGUAGUAUAUUAUUUAGUAUUAUUGUGAAAAUAGUGAUACAACUAAGGUCUAAAUCAGUUUAUCUAUCUGUCUGUCUAUCUAUCUAUCUAUCUAUCUAUCUAUCUAUCUAUCAUCUAUCUAUCUAUCAUCUAUCUAUCUAAUCACUGCUCUUGUCCAUUUUGUCUUAUAUGAUUCUGUUUUUUGGACACUUAUCUUACAUUUUUCAUUUUUCAUCUCUCUUACUUUUUUUCCUCUCUUCAUCCAACCACACUCUGCUUCUCAUUUAUGUUUAUGAUG
rnacentral:lncRNA from 10 species